GAUGAACGCUAGCUACAGGCUUAACACAUGCAAGUCGAGGGGAAACGAUAUUGGAAGCUUGCUUCCGAUAGGCGUCGACCGGCGCACGGGUGAGUAACGCGUAUCCAACCUGCCCACCACUUGGGGAUAACCUUGCGAAAGUAAGACUAAUACCCAAUGAUAUCUCAAGAAGACAUCUGAAUGAGAUUAAAGAUUUAUCGGUGAUGGAUGGGGAUGCGUCUGAUUAGCUUGUUGGCGGGGUAACGGCCCACCAAGGCUACGAUCAGUAGGGGUUCUGAGAGAAAGGUCCCCCACAUGGGAACUGAGACACGGUCCAAACUCCUACGGGAGGCAGCAGUGAGGAAUAUUGGUCAAUGGGCGAGAGCCUGAACCAGCCAAGUAGCGUGCAGGAUGACGGCCCUAUGGGUUGUAAACUGCUUUUAUAAGGGAAUAAAGUGAGCCUCGUGAGGCUUUUUGCAUGUACCUUAUGAAUAAGGACCGGCUAAUUCCGUGCCAGCCGCCGCCGUAA
rnacentral:rRNA from 1 species